rnacentral:rRNA from 1 species
AGAGUUUGAUCCUGGCUCAGGAUGAACGCUAGCGGCAGGCUUAACACAUGCAAGUCGAGGGGCAGCAUGAGGAGUAGCAAUACACCUUGAUGGCGACCGGCGCAAGGGUGCGUAACGCGUGAGCAACAUUCCCGAUUCUGGGACAUAACCGGUGGAAACGCCGACUAAUUUCCCAUAACAACAGUUUUGACAUCAUUACUGUUUAAAAGAUUUAUCGGAAUCGGAUUGGCUCGCGUGAUAUUAGUUAGUUGGUGAGGUAAUGGCCCACCAAGACUACGAUAUCUAGGGGUUCUGAGAGGAAGGUCCCCCACAUUGGAACUGAGACACGGUCCAAACUCCUACGGGAGGCAGCAGUGAGGAAUAUUGGUCAAUGGCCGCAAGGCUGAACCAGCCAUGCCGCGUGAAGGUUAAGGUCCUAUGGAUUGUAAACUUCUUUUGUACGGGAGCAAUAAGUUCUACGUGUAGAGCGAUGAGAGUACCGUACGAAUAAGCAUCGGCUAACUCCGUGCCAGCAGCCGCGGUAAUACGGAGGAUGCAAGCGUUAUCCGGAUUUAUUGGGUUUAAAGGGUGCGUAGGCGGUAUGAUAAGUCAGCGGUGAAAUGUUCUCGCUCAACGAGAAAAGUGCCGUUGAUACUGUUGUACUAGAGUUCGGAUGCCGUGGGAGGAAUGUGUAGUGUAGCGGUGAAAUGCCUUAGAUAUUACACAAAACACCGAUUGCGAAGGCAUCUCACGAAUCCGACACUGACGCUGAGGCACCAAAGUGUGGGGAUCAAACAGGAUUAGAUACCCUGGUAGUCCACACUGUAAACGAUGAUAACUAACCGUUGGCGAUAUACAGUCAGUGGCUAAGCGAAAGCGAUAAGUUAUCCACCUGGGGAGUACGUUCGCAAGAAUGAAACUCAAAGGAAUUGACGGGGGCCCGCACAAGCGGAGGAACAUGUGGUUUAAUUCGAUGAUACGCGAGGAACCUUACCCGGGCUUGAAAGUUACUGAAUAAUCUAGAGAUAGAUUAGCUAGCAAUAGCAGGAAACUAGGUGCUGCAUGGUUGUCGUCAGCUCGUGCCGUGAGGUGUCGGCUUAAGUGCCAUAACGAGCGCAACCCUUGUCGUCAGUUACCAUCAGGUUAUGCUGGGCACUCUGGCGAGACUGCCACCGCAAGGUGUGAGGAAGGGGGGGAUGACGUCAAAUCAGCACGGCCCUUACGUCCGGGGCGACACACGUGUUACAAUGGUGAGUACAGAAGGCAGCUACCUGGCGACAGGAUGCAAAUCUUCAAAACUCAUCUCAGUUCGGAUUGGAGUCUGCAACUCGACUCCAUGAAGUUGGAUUCGCUAGUAAUCGCGCAUCAGCCAUGGCGCGGUGAAUACGUUCCCGGGCCUUGCACACACCGCCCGUCA